UUGUAUGUUUGCGUGUCCAAUUCAUGAGGUGCAGCUCCAUACUUUGGCCACUAGAGGGGGGGCCAUGCACUAGGAGGAGUGGAGAAGAGAGGAGCACAGCAUCAAAUACAGACACUGUUACCAUUUCAACAACGUGGGGAUAGAAUGGAGCCCAGUAAGGGUAUCCGAUACUGCUACAUGGAGGCUGUUACGAGUCCCAUGAAAGUGCAACAAAAUUUCACCAGGCGAAUUUCCCCUCUGAUUUGUGCCAGUGGUUACCACCCUUUAAAAUGGGCAUGUGUGCAUAGUGUGCCAUACUGCCCAGCAGAGACCGUCACGUGAUUCAGAUUGAAAAGACUGGGAGCUUCUAAAAAGUGCUGGUGGAUACCGCCCUCAAGGCAGCCGUUGCUGCCUGUGUGAAUGCAACGUUAUGAACAAUUAAUGUUCACAACAUAAAAGUGUGAC